AGGCUUUGAGGUAAACCAAUAACGCCACUUUGAACAUGAGUAGAAAAUUGGGGGAAUUGUAACAUAACAUUCCCAAACCAACACAAGCCCUUUGAACAAAUCUGUGCAGAAGAGAAGCGACACUCCCACCGCAACGAGAGAUUUCAGAUGAGGGAACAUAAGAAGCAAAAUGCUUAUGUGAGGCAAAUAAUUGAGGACAUAAUGUGGACUCACACGGUGGCGCGAAUUUGUAUCUUGUACAUGAUUUUUCGCAAAGUUUCGAAGAAAAGGAGGCGAGCUGAAUUUGCGUUGGCUUACGACAUUCUGAAUCGAGUACCGAUGCAGAUUCAACGUCUAAACAGACUGGUUGGGGUAACUGACACAGAUUGUCUAGUUAAUUGUAGGAUGGACCGGAAUACGUUUGGAAGGUUGUGCUCAUUGUUUACAGAGUUGGGAAUGUUACGCGUCCGGAGGUUCGUAGGGAUAGAAGAGCAAGUCGCCAUUUUUCUAGGUGUCAUAGCACAUCACAAGAAAAACCGUAUGGUUUGAUUUGAACAUUGGCGAUCAGGGAACACAGUUUCAUUCUACGUUCAUGAGGUCCUUGUAGCAGUAUUAAAGUUGCAUUCCUUGUUCUUGGUCAAACCCGAGCCAAUUCGCGAAGAUUGUGUAGAUUGGCGAUGGAAAUGUUUUCAGGGGUGUCUUGGUGCUCUUGAUGGCACCAAGAUAUUAAGCAGGAGAGUGCACCACUGAUAUUCAAUAUUUCUGACACUACCGUGCCCGUAGAGGAUCUCAAUCGGAUGUAUAAGCCAUUAGAUGGAGUUGGAAUGGCACCGACCGCAGAGCUAAGCGUGUCCGUCUCUUCUCCUCCCAUGCCCAAAGUGCCAAAGAUGAAACGCAAUUUGUUUGGAAACGGGUUCACGACUGUGGGUAGUCAGUCCAAUAACGUGGAUAUGGACCCGAGUAUGGGGAAGAAAUACCCCCCAAAGCCGAAGAAAUUUCCUCCAAGCAAUUUAGGUUCGCCACAUGGAAGUUCAUGUGGCUCUUCGAACACCUACAAGUAUUGAUGGCUAUAAUCGACCUUGUUUGUUCAAACUAAAUUUUGUUGUAUUUUCUAAUUCACGUUUUAUGUUGUAUUUGUCUUCGUUCUACUCUAUUAAGCUAGGUUGUGUAUGUGAUCUAUCUUGUGUAGGUUUUGUUGGAAUAUCUAUGUGGAAAUUCAAUCAAUGUGAUCAAUAUUUGCUGAUUAA